UACUUAGUGGCGGACGGGUGAGUAAUGCUUAGGAAUCUGCCUAGUAGUGGGGGAGUAACUUGGGGAAACCCAAGCUAAUACCGCAUACGACCUACGGGUGAAAGGGGGCUUUUAGCUCUCGCUAUUAGAUGAGCCUAAGUCGGAUUAGCUGGUUGGUGGGGUAAAGGCCUACCAAGGCGACGAUCUGUAGCUGGUCUGAGAGGAUGAUCAGCCACACUGGGACUGAGACACGGCCCAG
rnacentral:rRNA from 1 species